rnacentral:misc_RNA from 1 species
AGAAAAUAGAAGUUCCAUUUGUGCCAGUAGAACAUCAUCUAUCAUGCGCUUCAGCUUCUCUGUUCCUACCUGAGAAUCAUCAACAGGAAACUUUCAUGAAAUCUGAGGAUUCCCAAGAUAGCAGCGAGUCAACGUUGGAACUGAAACCGAAGAGCAGCAAUAAGUUCAAUGCUACAACGUUUUCCACUUUCCAUGCUACAAGCUCUCCUGUAGAGUCCUUAGUCUCUGUGGUUGAGUUGGCAAUUGAGAAACUUGCGGAAGAAGUUUUACCCCAAGUGACAGCAGCUCCAAGGAUGGCCACAGAUACUAAAUCUUCAGCUUCAGCAAAUGAUUCCAGUGAGCAACAUGAAAAAACUGAAUUGUCUGUCUUUGCAAAGAAUAUUAUUGAGGCACAAGAAAAUGCUGUAAGGAUGAGCACUGAAUCAGUUACUGAAAACUUGAUUCAAGCGGAGGUGGGAAAGUCUCCAAGUUCAAUUGUGGAAAGCACAGUCCCUGCUGUGCAGUUAGCAAUUGAGAAAUCACAGCAAGAAUCUCCACAUUACAGCAUAACAGUUCUAGAGACAGUGACACAAGCUAAAUCAUUAGCUUUAGCAAGUCAGUCGAGUGAACAAUGUGAAAAGGUAGAAACUUCGGUCCACGGAAGGGGCGGUUAUGAGCCACAAGAAACUGUGGGAAGGUUCAGCACCGAAUCAAUUUCUGACAACUUGAAUAAUCAUGCAGAGAUGCGGAAAUCUCCAAGCUUCAAUCUUGAUCUCCGAAUAGAAGCAAGGGGUGAAGAAUCAGAUCAGACUCCACUACUUCAUGAGGAUAAAAAUGCAAUUGAAGGCUUACCAAUCCAGGCAGAUGUAAGCCUUCAAAACUCACUUCCGCAAGCUCAAUAUGGCCAAGAAUCAUUGAAGUAUCAAGCAAUGCCAGUGGAAGAAAAAGUGAUUACUCUGGAAAGAAACGACUCUGAGAAGUCAAGAACACCAUUCCUAGGGUUCUUGAAAGAAGAUGAGGAGGCUCGUGGUGCAGUUCUACCGAAGAAAAAAGAAAAUUAUGUUGCUGUAGAAAAAGCAACCAAGGAUCCAUGGAACUCAUCUGCCACUAAAGAAGUCUCGCCAACGCCUCCAAAAGGUAAAGAAAAGCACAAGCGCAGGCCAUCUCUCUUCACCAAUUGCAUGUGUUGUACAACUGUGAUUAAUUAAAAAGCUUAAGAUCGAAGUUAACAGUUUUACAGUUUGGUAUUCUGAAUUAAUUUGUUUCGGUAUUGGUUUCCCUUUCUAAUUCCAAGUUUUCAAGACGUGGGGUAUUGAUCAAUGGAGAGACUGUUGAUUGGUUUAGCAUAUUUGAGACUAACCAAGAAAGAGUGAGUACAACUUAUGUAACCCUCAUUAAUUGCUUUGUGUUCUUUCUCUGUCUAUACUUGUCCUAAACUUGCACAGCCCUGCAUGCAUUGUAUUUUUUCAUGCAAGUUCUCAUUAGUUGAAUCUCUUGAUGUAAUUUAUUGGGGUGUUUGUUGGAGAUAAAUUGGAAGGUUUGGAGAGGAUAUUGUAAAAUAGGCAGCUUUUGCUGCCUUUGACUGUAUCAUUUGUUUAUUCAUUGAAAAUACAAAUGUUUCUUAAUGUUAAUUUUGUAUUUAUUUUGAAAUUGGA